rnacentral:rRNA from 1 species
UGGGGAAUAUUGGGCAAUGGGGGAAACCCUGACCCAGCGACGCCGCGUGAGGGAAGACGGCCUUCGGGUUGUAAACCUCUUUUGUACGGGAAGAAGGAAGUGACGGUACUGUACGAAUAAGUCCCGGCUAACUACGUGCCAGCAGCCGCGGUAAUACGUAGGGGACGAGCGUUGUCCGGAAUUACUGGGCGUAAAGGGCGCGCAGGCUGUGCUGCAAGUCAGCUGUGAAAUGUCUGGGCUUAACCCGGGCAUGCGGUUGAGACUGCA